rnacentral:rRNA from 1 species
AUUGAACGCUGGCGGCAGGCCUAACACAUGCAAGUCGAGCGAGCGGCGGACGGGUGAGUAAUGUAUGGGAAUCUGCCUGAUGGAGGGGGAUAACUACUGGAAACGGUAGCUAAUACCGCAUACCAUCAGAUGAACCCAGAUGGGAUUAGCUUGUAGGUGGGGUAACGGCUCACCAAGGCGACGAUCCCUAGCUGGUCUGAGAGGAUGACAAGCCACACUGGGACUGAGACACGGUCCAGACUCCUACGGGAGGCAGCAGUGGGGAAUAUUGCACAAUGGGCGAAAGCCUGAUGCAGCCAUGCCGCGUGUAUGAAGAAGGCCUGCGGGUUGUAAAGUACUUUCAGCGGGGAGGCGUUACCGACAGAAGAAGCACCGGCUAACUCCGUGCCAGCAGCCGCGGUAAUAC